UACGUAGGGCGCAAGCGUUGUCCGGAAUUAUUGGGCGUAAAGAGCUCGUAGGCGGCUUGUCACGUCGGGUGUGAAAGCCCGGGGCUUAACCCCGGGUCUGCAUUCGAUACGGGCUAGCUAGAGUGUGGUAGGGGAGAUCGGAAUUCCUGGUGUAGCGGUGAAAUGCGCAGAUAUCAGGAGGAACACCGGUGGCGAAGGCGGAUCUCUGGGCCUGAUCUGACGCUGAGGCGCGAAAGCUAGGGGAGCAAACGGG
rnacentral:rRNA from 1 species